rnacentral:misc_RNA from 1 species
UUUCCGUAGGUGAACCUGCGGAAGGAUCAUUAAAAGUUAUCAGUGCUCCCGGCGCGUAUUAUGUAUCCUGCCUUUGUAUCUUACCUGUUGCUUCCGUGGGUCGUUGGCUUCGGCCACUCCUCUAGUGCGGGGAACCCACGGGAGGUCUACAUCAUACCUUUGCUCUCAAUGAUUUCUGUCUUAAUUGUAACAAUGAGAAAAGUUAAAACUUUCAACAACGGAUCUCUUGGUUCUG